UGAUGGCUCAGAAUGAACGUUGGCGGCGUGGAUUAGGCAUGCAAGUCGUGCGAGAAGUGUCUUUUGCUUGCACUGGACACGGACAGCGGCGAAAGGGAGAGUAACGCGUGGUUACAUGCCUCAGAGACCAGGAUAGUGUUGGGAAACUGGCAGUAAUACUGGAUGAUAUCUUCGGAUCAAAUGGUGAGAUUCCGCUCUGAGAUUGGACCGCGUACUAUUAGCUUGUUGGUGGGGUAAUGGCCUACCAAGGCAGCGAUGGUUACCGGGUGUGAGAGCAUGGCCCGGCUCACUGGGACUGAGACACUGCCCAGGCACCUACGGGUGGCUGCAGUCGAGAAUCUUCGGCAAUGGACGAAAGUCUGACCGAGCGACGCCGCGUGCGGGAUGAAGGCCCUCGGGUUGUAAACCGCUGUCAGUUGGGAGGAAGGACCUGUGCAGAGCAGGUCUUGACCGAUCUUCANAGGAAGGACGGGCUAAGUUCGUGCCAGCAGCCGCGGUAAGACGAACCGUCCAAACGUUAUUCGGUAUCACUGGGCUUAAAGCGUGCGUAGGCGGCUUGGUAGGUGUGAUGUGAAAGCCCACGGCUCAACCGUGGAAUUGCGUCGCAAACCCCCAAGCUUGAGGAAGACAGGGGUGUUGGGAACUUAUGGUGGAGCGGUGAAAUGCGUUGAUAUCAUAGGGAACACCGGUGGCGAAGGCGCAACACUGGGUCUUUUCUGACGCUGANGCACGAAAGCUAGGGUAGCGAACGGGAUUAGAU
rnacentral:rRNA from 1 species